GGAGAAUCAACGAUUUGUGUGCAUUCACUGGCAGUGGAUUGAUGUUGUUGGCUCUUGACUCUAGCCAAAUACCUUCAUAUUUCAUACCUUCUCUGGGACCUGCGCCAAAGUGGUGUUCUUACCUUGAAAACCUAACGGAAGAGCUUGAGGAGCAACCCCAAACAACUAUUUAUGACGAUUAUAAAUUUCUGACAAAGGAAGAUCUGG
rnacentral:misc_RNA from 1 species